GACGAACGCUGGCGGCGUGCCUAAUACAUGCAAGUAGAACGCACAGUUUAUACCGUAGCUUGCUACACCAUAGACUGUGAGUUGCGAACGGGUGAGUAACGCGUAGGUAACCUGCCUGGUAGCGGGGGAUAACUAUUGGAAACGAUAGCUAAUACCGCAUAAUAUUGAUUAUUGCAUGAUAAUUGAUUGAACGAUGCUAUUGCAUCCCUACCAGAUGGACCUGCGUUGUAUUAGCUAGUAGGUGAGGUAACGGCUCACCUAGGCGACGAUACAUAGCCGACCUGAGAGGGUGAUCGGCCACACUGGGACUGAGACACGGCCCAGACUCCUACGGGAGGCAGCAGUAGGGAAUCGUCGGCAAUGGACGAAAGUCUGACCGAGCAACGCCGCGCGAGUGAAGAAGGUUGUCGGAUCGUAAAGCUCUGUUGUAAGAGAAGAACGGGUGUGAGAGUGGAAAGUUCACACUGUGACGGUAUCUGACCAGAAAGGGACGGCUAACUACGUG
rnacentral:rRNA from 1 species